rnacentral:miRNA from 1 species
UUGGAUUUAUAGUUGGAUAAG